rnacentral:lncRNA from 1 species
GUGCUCGGCGCGGCCCUUCCCCCGGCCAUGGCGGCGAGGGCGGGCCGGCGCCCGGAAGGGGAGCCGCCGCCACCGCCCGCCUGACUUCCCCGGCUGUCGGGCGGGGAGGGAGCAGGGGCAGGAGGGCGCCAUGCUGCAGUUCUUGCUUGGUUUUACUCUUGGCAAUGUGGUUGGGAUGUAUAUUGCUCAGAACUAUGAUAUUCCUAACAUUGCGAAGAAGCUUGAAGAUUUUAAGAAGGAUGUGGAGGCUAAGAAGAAACCUCCCAGUGACAAGUCCUGAAAGAGCAGUGUUCCCCAGGUCACCUCUGUGUGUGCAUCAAGGAUGCAAUUUACCUUUCAGGCAACAAGGGUCAAGUAGAGGGUUGGCAUGGGAGGUUCCUCCACUCUUAGUCUCCUAGAACUGGAAUGUCCUUCUUUUGAGAGAGCAGCCGUGAACUUUACCUGGGACUGAUUUUCAAGGGUUUCAGAAUUUCGAUUUGCAGCUGAUGUGUGACUGGAUAAGUUUGUAUUUUUCAUUAUUUCUUUUCCUAAUAUUUUGUAACCCAUUUUUACCUGAUCCAACUGGAGUUGUUAGCCCUGUUACUGUGUGUACCUCACACUUUGUAGUGCCCUAGUCCUUAGAACAUCACAAAAGAAAUUAAAUGCAUCAAGAAGGAACUUUCAGGUUUCUUGUCGUUUGU